CCAAGAAUAUUUCCUUCAAUCUGAGGCAGACCACAGCGUCUCCAGAAAAAACAGAAGAAAAACUAACUGCAGGCAUUUAACCAACUUCACUAAGCCUGUAACCCGUUCAGUCAUCCAGCCACUGGGGGCGCUGUUACGAAAGGACUGUCUGUGCAUGACUGGAGUGGAGCUGAAGCUGUCUACCUUUACGUCCCAAAACUUGAUGAAAACAUGAUAUGGAGAUUCCAGCUUCAGCGACAUGAUGUUCACGCCCAGCUCUCCGCCAUCUGUUCUCACCAGUCAAGCUGUCUUGGCAGCGCCUCGGUACCAGGAUGCUGCAUGAACCCCGUCUCCACCCGAAAGCUUUCUCUGCCCCCAUCAGAUGCUUAAAGCCAAACAUGUUCAACAAACUGACAGGAUCACAGGCAUCAAACUACUGAACUCACAAUUCAGCGUUUCUGCAGAGACAUGGAGACGUUCCCCGUCUAAAAGCUAAAGACGGUCGAUUCAGUUACAGAAAAAGAACAAAACCGAUGAGAAAAACUAACAUAUUUAGUUUGUCAAACCUGUAACAUGCACAUUUUUUCAGUUUUGAUCAUCAGUGGGCCUCCCAUGCAUGUUUUAGAUGUUUUUGUGCUGCAGGACUCCUGAUCCUUUUCAAUUAACCAAUUUAAAAUAUACUUUAUUGAUCGCAGUUCCUGCAGCAGUCUGUAUUACAACAAAUUUAAAGACGCCUCUGACGGAAGACACUUUUUUUAUGACAGUUUCAUGAAGAAUAUUGUCAUGGUUAUUAUUUUUCUUGAUUUUAGAUAAAAAAUGUAAACUAUCUGCAGAUGGGGAGGCAUUAAACCUGCAGGUGACUAAACCCUCAGAGUGGCCUAGUUAAAACCUUAGAGCUAAAAGCAGCUGAGCAUGUGAAAUCAAAGAGGUUUCCUGGAGGAGAUUCCCACGCUUUGUGGGUUAUUCUGCAUGAACUUUGGGUUUGUUUUGCUCUCCAUCGCUACGGAAACCUGGGCAGAGUCGAGCACACAGUUUGAAAGGCUUUGAAGUGCUUUCUUUUGUUCCUGACAAUGAGCGACAGCUGCAGAAAACAAAACACAUUUUCCUUUACUUUACUCAGAUUUGUUUAAAUAUAUUUCAGAAAUUUAUCAUGCAAGUUAAAAAGCAGAAAAAGGCCAACAAGAGAAAACUGGUGGUUAGUUCUGAGAAACGCCUCAGGAGCUCUUGUCCAAAUGCCAGAUCAAAAAAAGAGAAGUAUUAUUGAUGCAGCAAACAAGCCAUCACCUGUUUACAAGGUGUUGCUGCUCCGCCGGGCCUCUGUGGAAAUCUGCAGAAACACUUUAGCAGCUGUUUGCUGCUGACUGAAAGCUGCAGAAACUGACAAGAAAUGAUUUUGUUAUUGAUCCACUCAGGUUAAAUAAAAAAAGGUCAGUGAUGCUUUUCUGUCUGCAGACUCAAAAAAGAUAAAUAUCACAAAACGACGUGUGCAAAAUACGCAAAUUUAUUAAAGUGAUGCAGUAAAAUGUGA